CUCAUUAUGUGUAAAUAACACACACAGGUCGGCACAUACACCGGGGUGCUCUCAUGCGGCUGAUUCAUAGGUCAAUUGAUGUGAAUAAUCCGCAGCUAAAGAGUCGGUGUCAUGGGAUCUGUGGAGGCAUAAC
rnacentral:sRNA from 1 species